rnacentral:rRNA from 1 species
UACGUAGGUGGCAAGCGUUUGUCCGGAAUUAUUGGGCGUAAAGCGCGCGCAGGUGGUUUCUUAAGUCUGAUGUGAAAGCCCACGGCUCAACCGUGGAGGGUCAUUGGAAACUGGGGGACUUGAGUGCAGGAGAGAAGAGUGGAAUUCCACGUGUAGCGGUGAAAUGCGUAGAGAUGUGGAGGAACACCAGUGGCGAAGGCGACUUACUGGACACAUAUUGACGCUGAGGUGCGAAAGCGUGGGGAGCAAACAGG